rnacentral:rRNA from 1 species
AGCUUGCUGSCAUGCUGACGAGCGGCGGACGGGUGAGUAAUGCAUAGGAAACUGCCCAGUAGUGGGGGAUAGCCCGGGGAAACCCGGAUUAAUACCGCAUACGCCCUACGGGGGAAAGCAGGGGCUCUUCGGACCUUGCGCUAUUGGAUGUGCCUAUGUCGGAUUAGCUUGUUGGUAGGGUAACUGGCCUACCAAGGCGACGAUCCGUAGCUGGUCUGAGAGGAUGAUCAGCCACAUCGGGACUGAGACACGGCCCGAACUCCUACGGGAGGCAGCAGUGGGGAAUAUUGGACAAUGGGGGCAACCCUGAUCCAGCCAUGCCGCGUGUGUGAAGAAGGCUUUCGGGUUGUAAAGCACUUUCAGUGAGGAGGAAGGCCUUAAGGUUAAUACCCUUGAGGAUUGACGUUACUCACAGAAGAAGCACCGGCUAACUCCGUGCCAGCAGCCGCGGUAAUACGGAGGGUGCAAGCGUUAAUCGGAAUUACUGGGCGUAAAGCGCGCGUAGGUGGUUAGGUAAGCGAGAUGUGAAAGCCCCGGGCUUAACCUGGGAACGGCAUUUCGAACUGUCUGGCUAGAGUAUGGUAGAGGGUAGUGGAAUUUCCUGUGUAGCGGUGAAAUGCGUAGAUAUAGGAAGGAACACCAGUGGCGAAGGCGGCU